UUAGGUGGUUAUAGCGCUGAGGUCCCACCCCUUCCCAUUCCGAACAGGGUCGUUAAGCUCAGCAUCGCCGAUGGUACUGCACUGCGUUGUGGGAGAGUAGGUAGCCGCCAUUU
rnacentral:rRNA from 1 species